UGUGAAUACAGAGGAAGAUACCAUCAUCCAUGUAAUAAAGCUCCGUAUGUAAACAGGAGCAGAUAAACAAAACCUGUAAAUAACUGACCAUAAUAUGCAGUCUCAAUUACAGGGCCCACUAUUUCCAUCUUGAGCACAACUCACAAGAAUAUGAGCCCAUCCAAGGGACUCCAAUAAAGUAAGUGACAACAAAGGAAGACAAAUAACACUCUAAGGCUGAUUAUUUUCUCCUGUGAUGUGGUCAAGGCUUUUGGCCACAAGUAGACACUGUGUUCUACUGGAGAAGUUAGCAAAAGUGCUGGCAGGGUGCUCUAAGCCUAUGCUCCUCAAAGUGGACCAGCAGCAUCCAUACCAACUGGAAAUAUUGGAAGUAUAGACUUUUAGAAACCACCCUAGACCUACAGAUCAGAAUCUGCAUUUUCACCAGAU